UUAGUCAUAUAGUGUGGGUAGUAAGUAGUUUAAUAUUGCAAAAUAAUGGUGUAAGUGUAAAGAAUAACUAAAUUAAUUUCUUAAACAAACAGGAGAUUAUCAGGAAAAAGCAAUAUAUUAUGCUUUCUAACUGCAUAUUCAGCCUGAAACAGACACCUAAGAAUGUAUCUCUCAUACCAAAAACCUUAACACAUUCAGAGGAUAGCACAUAUGUUUUGUUGUGUGACUGGUAAAGCAAAAAAGGACUCGGAAUAUGACACAAACAUAACAUUUUAUAAUAUUAUAGGGAUAAAUAGUCUGAAUGUCUUUCUGUUAUGGAUUAUAGUCUGAAAAUAUAAUGAAUCAGUUUAAAUGACAAAAACUUUAUUUUGCUAAACAACGGGAAAUUUUAAGCAUUGAUAGAAAACAUUAAUUUAAUGUCCUGUGUCAAAUCUACAUGGACUAUUACUAGUGAUGCAACAAUAGCUCAGCUGUACCUAAGGGAGUUUAUGCAUUUUCUCUACUUAUCACUACAGGGAAUUAUAGUAGUGUUGAGCUGCAUUAUAAAACUCCUAACUCAAACACACCAUCAGUAUGUCCUAGUGCUAAAGCUAAUGAAACAAAACAUUAGCUAUACAAUCAGUAGGUAUGUAUGCAAGGCCAAUAUAGUCUAUUACCUAAAGCACUGUCAGAAUCAAGGCCAAAUUAAUCAUAUGUUCACAAAUUCAUUAUUGGACGCAAGUGAAAAUAACUAACAUGCCUUUUUUUCUAUAGAAGACAAUGCGACGUCUCUCCCCAGGAAUAUGUAUUGUUUAUUGCGCGUAUAUUUAACAAAUGAGUUACCUUAUAUCACCUAAAGCACACCUUCCUAUGACGCGAAUGCAGGAAAUUACACCAUGUGUGUUUGAGCUUACAAAAAAAACAACUCCGACAAAGAUAUUCGAGCGUGAGAAUAUUUUUUUUCACGCUGUGCAGGAAUCACAUGCAUCCAUGGGCAAAAAAAACUAUGGUCAAUUAUCCACGGGGAGGUGGCGAAAUUCAAUGACCUUUUACAAUAAAACGUUUAGUUCUAGGCCUAUAUAGUCUAGAAAUAUAUAGAUGCGCAGAAACGCAUUGCCAGCUGAAUAGCUCUAUCUGGGAUUUUCAAGGGGUAAGGUGUGAAAACAUUUCAAUGGCAAUGUAAACCUUAUUGAGAAUAUGCCACCGAGCCAACAUAAUUACACAAAACAUACCUGG